ACUCCUACGGGAGGCAGCAGUGGGGAAUAUUGCACAAUGGGCGCAAGCCUGAUGCAGCCAUGCCGCGUGUGUGAAGAAGGCCUUCGGGUUGUAAAGCACUUUCAGCGGGGAGGAAGGCAAUGCGGUUAAUAACCGUGUUGAUUGACGUUACCCGCAGAAGAAGCACCGGCUAACUCCGUGCCAGCAGCCGCGGUAAUACGGAGGGUGCAAGCGUUAAUCGGAAUUACUGGGCGUAAAGCGCACGCAGGCGGUCUGUCAAGUCGGAUGUGAAAUCCCCGGGCUCAACCUGGGAACUGCAUUCGAAACUGGCAGGCUUGAAUCUUGUAGAGGGGGGUAGAAUUCCAGGUGUAGCGGUGAAAUGCGUAGAGAUCUGGAGGAAUACCGGUGGCGAAGGCGGCCCCCUGGACAAAGACUGACGCUCAGGUGCGAAAGCGUGGGGAGCAAACAGGAUUAGAAACCCCAGUAGUCCCAU
rnacentral:rRNA from 1 species